UGGCGGAGGCAGUGCGACGCGAAUGGCGAAGGCGCGAAUGGCGAAGGCAAAUGACGAAGGCACGAUCGACGGCGGCGACGACGACGACAGGUAGCGUGGACGACGGCGGCGACGACAGGUAGCGUGGACGGCGACCAAACGGCGCGAUAGAGGCACAGGUUCUUCAAAAAUUAGGGUUGCGUUUUGGGAUUAGGGUUUCUGAACUAAAAUUAGGGGUUUUAGGUUUUUUUAAAAAUUAGGGUUUUUUGGGCCGCGUCAUGGAUCGCAGAGGCCCAUGGAUCGCCGAUCCAACCCCUGGAUCGUCGGAUCGCUCCGAUCCGUUGAGAAAACGAGUCAGGCACCGAUCUAGCACGUUUUUAGCAUGAAAGAUCGUAAAAUCGCGAUUUUUCCGAUCUAAAUCGCGAUUUUAACAACACUGCC
rnacentral:lncRNA from 1 species